AAUUAAAUUAAUUUUUAUAAAUUUUUAGAAUAAAUUAAAGUUAAUAAACUGAUUUUAAUAUAAUUCUUUAUAUGUGCUUUUGUACUUUUAAAAAUUUUGUUUAUAAUUGAAUUUUAUUUUUGAUUAGCUUGUUAAUAUUAUAAUUUAAUAUUAAGGCGAAGAUCAAUAGCUGAUUUGAGAAAAUGAAAGCCACAUUAGACAUGAGAUACAGUCUAAACCUUUAAAAAGGGUGAGCGGGAAGGAAGUUUUGGCAAUUAGCGAAAGCUGAACCGAGUUACAUUCAGUGUGGGUAGACAUAAAUUGUAAACCUCUGUGUAUAACUCAAAUAAAUAAGUGAUUUUAAAGUUAUAAGAAAAUAUCGGCAAACUCUGUGCAAGCAUCCGCGGUUAAACAGAGGAUAUUAGUGUUAUUCGCUAUUAUUGGGCGUAAAGCAUUCUUAGACGGAUUUUUGUAUUAAUUGAAAAAUUUAAAAAUGUAAUUUUUAAACAUUCAAUUAAAAUUAAAAAUCUUGAGAAUAGUAUAAGUUUAAGGAAUUUUUUGAGUAACAGUGAAAUGUUAAGAUACAUUAAGGAAGACCAAUAACGAAAGUAUUAAACUUUACUAUAACUGACGUUUAUGUUAUGAAAGCUAGAGUAGCAAAUGGGAUUUGGUACCCCAGUAGUUCUACGCUGUAAACUAUGAAUAUUAAGAACAUAUAAAUUUUAAAAUUUUUUGUUCUAAAGCUAACGCGUUAAAUAUUUCGCCUGAAUAGUACGUUCGCAAGAAUAAAAUUUAAAGGAACUGACGGGAGCUUAUAUAAGUGAUGGGUCAUGUUGAUAAAAAUAGAUGAAACCCUAAAAACCUUACCAAAAUUUAAAGUAAUUUAUAGAUUAUUUUUAUUUAAUAAUUUAAUUUAUUUAUAGGUGUUGCAUGGUUGUCGUAAGUUAGUGCCGUGAGGUGUCAAAUUAAGUUUUGUAACUAGCGUAACCCUCUUUAUUUAUUUUUCAUGUUUUUUAUAAGUAUUUUUAUUUAUAUUAGAGUAGGAAGAAGAGGACGACGUCAAAUCAUCAUAACCCUUGAAUUUUGGGCUUUUAACGUGACACAAUAAUAAAUACAAUAAAAUAUAUAAAUGAACUUUUUAAUAAGUUUUAUCAUAUUUUUAAAAUUUAUUUAAGUACAGAAUAUAAAUUGUAAAUUAUUUAUAUUUACUGCAGUAACCACUAGUAAUCGUUAGUCAUCUAUAUAACGGUGAAUUUUAAAAUAAGCUUUGUACACACCGCCCGUCAAGUUCUGAAAUUUAAUCUUUUAUAAGUUAUCUAUACGGGUGAUAAAAAAAAGAUUGAAGAUUGGAACUAAGUCGUAACAAGGUAGCCGUACCUGAAGGUGCGGCUG
rnacentral:rRNA from 1 species